AACCAUAGAAACCUGCGGAGUACCUGCGGAGGGAUCAUUACCGAGUGUGGCCCCAUUUUUAAAACAAAUAGGGGUACCUCCCGUCCUUUGCAGGGCCCUUUGGGGCUUUUUGAACUUUGCUUCGGCGGGUUUACCCCGCCGGAACACCCUCAAGAAAAUCUUUUUAAAAAUACUGUUGUCUGGGCAUUUACAAAAUAAAAACAAAACUUUUAACAACGGAUCUCAGAUCGGAAGAGCACA
rnacentral:misc_RNA from 1 species